GGACUACCAGGGUAUCUAAUCCCGUUUGCUCCCCUGGCUUUCGUGUUUCAGAGUCAGGAAUUUUCCAGGAGGCCGCCUACGCCACCGGUGUUCCUCAUGAUAUCUACGCAUUUCACUGCUACACCAUGAAUUCCGCCUCCCCCUCCAAUCCUCGAGCCAAGCAGUUUCGAAUGCCAUUUCGCCGUUAAGCGGCGAGCUUUCACAUCCGACUUGCCUGACCUCCUACACACCCUUUACGCCCAAUGAAUCCGAACAACGCUCGGGACCUCUGUAUUACCGCGGCUGCUGGCAC
rnacentral:rRNA from 2 species